GCCUGGCUGGCUCAGCCAGUAGAGCAUGUGACUCUUGAUCUCAGGGUUGUGAGUUCAAGGCCCACGGUGGGCG
rnacentral:tRNA from 1 species